rnacentral:rRNA from 1 species
GACGAACGCUGGCGGCGUGCUUAACACAUGCAAGUCGAACGGCAGCACGGGUGCUUGCACCUGGUGGCGAGUGGCGAACGGGUGAGUAAUAUAUCGGAACGUACCUUAUUGUGGGGGAUAACGCAGCGAAAGCUGUGCUAAUACCGCAUAAUCCCUAAGGGGGAAAGCGGGGGACCGUAAGGCCUCGCGCAAUUAGAGCGGCCGAUACCUGAUUAGCUAGUUGGUGAGGUAAAGGCUCACCAAGGCAACGAUCAGUAGCUGGUCUGAGAGGACGAUCAGCCACACUGGGGCUGAGACACGGCCCAGACUCCUACGGGAGGCAGCAGUGGGGAAUUUUGGACAAUGGGGGCAACCCUGAUCCAGCAAUGCCGCGUGAGUGAAGAAGGCCUUCGGGUUGUAAAGCUCUUUUGUCAGGGAAGAAACAGCAGCUCUAACACAGUUUGCGAAUGACGGUACCUGAAGAAUAAGCACCGGCUAACUACGUGCCAGCCGCCGCAGUAA